rnacentral:sRNA from 1 species
GCCGGGCAUGGUGGCACAUGCCUGUAAUACUAGCAGCUAGGAGGCUGAGGCAGGAGGAUCACAAGUUCAAAUCCAGCCUCAGCAACUUAGCAAGGUGCGAAGCAACUCAGUGAGAUCCUAUCUCUA